rnacentral:rRNA from 1 species
UCAAGCUACUAAGAGUGUACGGUGGAUGCCUUGGCAUCAGCAGGCGAUGAAGGGCGUGGUAAGCUGCGAUAAGCCUCGGGUAGUCGCACACAGACGCUAAUCCGAGGAUGCCCGAAUGGGGAAACCCGAUCCGAGUUAUGUCGGAUCAUCUCUGGGUGAAUACAUAGCCCAGUUGAAGCCAACCGGGGGAACUGAAACAUCUCAGUACCUCGAGGAAGAGAAAGCAACUGCGAUUCCCCUAGUAGCGGCGAGCGAAAAGGGAUCAGCCUAAACCGUUGGCGUGUCAUAGCCCGUGUGCGUUGCGCCAUCGGGGUUGCGGGGUCCUGUCUGGCUCUAAUACGGUGGGGCCGAAGAGUUACAAAUCUCAUUCUUAAUUGAACGGUCUGGAAAGGCCGGCCACAGAAGGUGAUAGCCCUGUAGAGUAAAGGAAUGGGACUCUUUGUGCAGGAUACCCAAGUACCACAGGACACGUGGAAUCCUGUGGGAAUCUGGGGGGACCGCCCUCCAAGGCUAAAUACUCGCUGAUGACCGAUAGUGAACCAGUACCGUGAGGGAAAGGUGAAAAGCACCCCUGUUAGGGGAGUGAAAUAGUACCUGAAACCGUACACUUACAAGCAGUCGGAGGGCUAUGCUCGUCGCAAGACGAGAACGCCUGACGGCGUGCCUUUUGUUUAAUGAGCCGGCGAGUUACUUGUGCGCAGCAAGGUUAAGUCGAGAGACGGAGCCGUAGCGAAAGCGAGUCCGAAUAGGGCGAUUGAGUUGCGCGCAGUAGACCCGAAGCCAGGUGAGCUACCCCUGGCCAGAGUGAAGUGCCGGUAACACGGCAUGGAAGCUCGAACUCAUCACGGUUGAAAACGUGUGGGAUGAGCUGGGGGUAGGAGUGAAAGGCCAAUCAAACCUGGAAAUAGCUGGUUCUCCCCGAAAUAGCUUUAGGGCUAGCCUCGCAACGUAAGUGGCGGAGGUAGAGCACUGAAUGAGCUAGGGCUCCUACAAGGGUACCAAACUCAAUCAAACUCCGAAUGCCGUCAACUGGAAUUGCGGGAGUCAGACUGUGGGGGCUAAGCUCCAUGGUCGAGAGGGAAACAGCCCAGACCGCCAGCUAAGGUCCUAAAAUGCAGGCUAAGUGGGAAAGGAUGUCAGAUUACAUAAACAACCAGGAGGUUGGCUUAGAGGCAGCCAUCCUUUAAAGAGUGCGUAAUAGCUCACUGGUCAAGCGAUCUGGCGCCGAUAAUGUAACGGGGCUCAAGCCUGUUACCGACGCUGUGGGAUCUCGUUCGCUUCGGCGAAUGGGAUCGGUAGGGGAGCAUUCUGCAGUCAGUGAAGCUGGACGGUAACGACCGGUGGAGAGUGCAGAAGAGAUUAUGCCGGCCUGAGUAACGAUAAACUAGGUGAAAAACCUAGUCGCCGUAAGUCUAAGGUUUCCUGGGGAAGGUUAAUCCGCCCAGGGUUAGUCGGUUCCUAAGCUGAGGCCUACGGGCGUAAGCGAAGGGCAACAGGUUAAUAUUCCUGUACCGUCUGACGACGACAAAGACGCGAUGGGGGGACGCAGGAGGGUAGGCCAUGCCCGUGUUGGAAUACGGGCUCUAAGCCGGUAGGGGGUCCUGACAGGCAAAUCCGUCGGGGCAUUAACUCCGAGAGGUGAUGGGGAGGCCGCAAGGCCAUAAACUGGCUAAUCCCAUGCUGCCAAGAAAAGCCUCUAGCGAGUCGUUAGGCGACCGUACCGCAAACCGACUCAGGUAGACGGGGAGAGAAUCCCAAGGCGCUCGAGAGAACACUCGCUAAGGAACUCGGCAAAAUAGCCCCGUAACUUCGGGAGAAGGGGUACCAUGCCGGCGUGAGUAGGUUUACCCUACAGAGCGCCGGAAGGUCGCAGUGAAAUGGGUCAAGCGACUGUUUACUAAAAACACAGGUCCGUGCCAAGCCGAAAGGCGAUGUAUACGGACUGACGCCUGCCCGGUGCCGGACGGUUAACAGGAGGGGUUAUCUGCCGUAAGGUGGAAAAGCUCUGAAUCGAAGCCCCGGUAAACGGCGGCCGUAACUAUAACGGUCCUAAGGUAGCGAAAUUCCUUGUCGGGUAAGUUCCGACCUGCACGAAUGGCGUAACGACUUGACCGCUGUCUCGGCGAGUGGCUCGGUGAAAUUGUAGUACCGGUGAAGAUGCCGGUUACCCGCAGCUAGACGGAAAGACCCCGUG